AUUGAACGCUAGCGGGAUGCUUUACACAUGCAAGUCGAACGAGUGGCGGACGGGUGAGUAAUAUAUCGGAACGUGCCCAGUAGCGGGGGAUAACUACUCGAAAGAGUGGCUAAUACCGCAUACGAUUGGAGCGGCCGAUAUCGGAUUAGCUAGUUGGUGGGGUAAAGGCUGACCAAGGCAACGAUCCGUAGCUGGUGUGCGAGGACGACGAGCGCAAUUGGGACUGAGACACGGCCCAGAAUCCUACGGAAGGCAGGUGUGGGGAAUUUUGAGCAAUGGGGGAAACCCUGAUCCAGCCAUCCCGCGUGUAUGAGAAGGCCUUCGGGUUGUAAAGUACUUUUGGCAGAGAAGCGGUAUCUGCAGAAUAAGCACCGGCUAACUACGUGCCAGCAGCCGCGGUAAUAC
rnacentral:rRNA from 1 species